rnacentral:rRNA from 1 species
GCAAGUCGAACGAACUUCUUCGGAAGUGAGUGGCGGACGGGUGAGUAACGCGUGAGUAUCUGCCCAAAGGUGGGGGACAACCAUUGGAAACGAUGGCUAAUACCCCAUAUGCCGAGAGGUGAAAGGUUUACUGCCUUAUGAGCUCGCGUCUGAUUAGCUAGAUGGUGGGGUAACGGCUUACCAUGGCGACGAUCAGUAGCUGGUCUGAGAGGAUGAUC